rnacentral:lncRNA from 1 species
CCCCUGCUGGGGGGUGCCUUCCAGUUAGGCUGCUCGGGGGUCGGGGGUCAGGGGUCAGGGACCCACUUGAGGAGGCAGUCUGCCCUUUCUCAGAUCUCCAGCUGCGUGCUGGGAGAACCACUGCUCUCUUCAAAGCUGUCAGACAGGGACAUUUAAGUCUGCAGAGGUUACUGCUGUCUUUUUGUUUGUCUGUGCCCUGCCCCCAGAGGUGGAGCCUACAGAGGCAGGCAGGCCUCCUUGAGCUGUGGUGGGCUCCACCCAGUUCGAGCUUCCCAGCUGCUUUGUUUACCUAAUCAAGCCUGGGCAAUGGCGGGCGCCCCUCCCCCAGCCUCGCUGCCGCCUUGCAGUUUGAUCUCAGACUGCUGUGCUAGCAACCAGCGAGACUCCGUGGGCGUAGGACCCUCCACGCCAGGUGCCGGAUAUAAUCUCGGGGAUAUAAUCUCCCGUUUUUUAAGCCGGUCCGAAAAGCACAAUAUUCAGGUGGGAGUGACCCGAUUUUCCAGGUGGACAUUUGUGUUGAUUUCAUAUCUUUGCUAUUGUGAAUACUACUGCAAUUAACAUGCAAGUGCAACCAAUCAAGCUGAUGUCUUCAAUUUAUUCAUGUAUUCAUUCAUUAUUCAUUGAUAUAUAGCCAAUCAAGCAAGCAAGCAAACAAAAAUAUAUGAGUGCCUAUCAUGGACCAAAAUUUUGCUGGCUAAAGACUGAAGAAAUAGAAGAUAAAGUUUAAAUACAGUUCAUUUGUCUUCUUUAUAGACUCACUUUUUGCAGCAGACAAUGUGCUAUGUCUGAAACAGUAAAUUCCAGGGACCUUAGAAGAAAAUAACUGCACCUAACUCAAUUCUAAGUAAUGAGAAACUCUUUGUGUAAUCUGAGGUGAGCAUGAGGAUGCAAGGAGUCAGUCAAGCCAAAGAAAGACAAGAUUGAAUGCUGGAUAUGAAGAAAGCAAGGAGAACCAGGUAAAAUAGGUGGAAAAGAUGUCGAGGAGAAUGUAGCCUAAUCUUUAUGCCCAAUAUUGUUCACCAACAAUCAGGAUUUCAUAUAUAUAAAACAAGAAUAUUUGCUGUACAUCUAGAAAAAAAUUAUAACUGUUUCAGGCAUUCAUUCAAAUGAUAAAAAUCUUUCUGUACAAAAUUCUCCCAAUAAUAAUUAAAAUCAUGUACCCUACUACCAAUAAUUUAUUUCACAAUAGGCCUCCAAAAAAGCAAUCAUGUCCACAUUAAUUAACAGGAGAUUAUCAACAAUCUGAGAGAUUCAUGGCCUUACUUUCUGAAUAGUAGCAUGCAGAAUAUUUUUGGAAAAGAAAAGCUAAAAAAUCAGGGACAUAGUACAUCUCAGAAAAUGACAUCAUCUUUUACUUUAUAACUUCAGGUUUGCUCUCAAAAAUGUAUAACACCACAAUAUUGUGAAGUUUUACAACCCAAAUCCACAACAACUCUACAAGAUCCUUCCCGUGUAAAUGUCUUCAGAUGCAUAAUCAAGCACAGAAAAUAAAAAAUAUGCCCAGUUUGUUACACAGAACAGGGAAGAAGUGUUUGCUUAGAUAGAUUCUGGGCACCAUCUGGGAGACAAGUGCCUGGUUUCACAACAGAUUGCAUAAUUUUUCUGUUGAAUCUGGAGAAAAGCCCUAACUGCUUUAAUAGAGAGUUGAUUUUACAUGCCUUUAAUCUUCAUUUCAGUUUGUCUUAAAGGCAAUCCAUAUGGUUGAAUGGCAGAAGUAGUCAUUAGCUUAACACAGUGUUCAGGCUUCCAUCUUUCUGUGAGAGACAUGCAGUAUUUCACCUUAUAGAGAGUUAGUUUUCAUUGCACAUGGUAAUUAAUCUUUUUACUAGCCAAGCGUCUACUGCAUAUAUAUGCCAUUGAUUGAUUAGAUUAGAAAUUUAAUGUUACAGUUCAUACAUUAGUAAUAUUUCAAUAUAACACAUACCAAGGACUCCAGUAUCAAUAUAAGUAAAUCAAGAGCAGCACAAAAAAUCAGCACCUGGAUCAAGAAGGGUGACCUCAGCAGGAAGGGAAUACUUCAUCCACAACAGAGAAAUCCUAAAGCAAAGUUCACCUUAUUAGAAGCUCUGUGUGGAAUCUAUGGCUAGAGGGUACUUGGAUUUUUAACAGAAAACAGAAUACAUCUAAAAGCAGAUGGCAAGACACAAUUCCCAAAUGGACAAGACAGUCAGGCUACCCUUUUAUGUACCUGUCUCUACAUUCCUUUCUUGGCCGAUGCUAGAGAAGAAAGCACUUUGGCAUCACGUUGUAAAAGAUACAAUUAAAAAUCAAAACAGAUUGGCAAAGUUCGGUAUUUUAAUGAAAAGAAUGGCUCAUAAUUGUAUCCUGGUAAUAGUUUCUGAAAUGGAAGAAAAGUAAAAGAGCUUUUUUCAUUGAGAUAAAUUCUUUUUAGGCCUGAGGCAUGUACACGUGCUAGAAAAAAAAAAGUAACCUAUAUGUUUCUAUCUACACAGAGAGGGAGAGUUGAGAAGAAAAAUGUGUUUACCUUUAUUUGUCACACGGGAAUCAAAAUGCUGGCCUGGGACUCUCAAAUAUGUUAUCAAAUAUGAUCUACCAAAUGGUGUUCCAAGCUAAAGUGAUGUUGGCUUUCACAGUACAUUGGAAGAAAUUGGGGAGUGAAGUAUACAAACACAUUCCUAAACUCCUAAAUGUUAAAUAAAAGCUAUAAGAUUAAAAAAAUAUAAUUCCACAAUGCAGACUUCUUUUCAUCCUAUUAUAUCAUCCUUUUCUCUAUUUUACCUUGAUUUUCCUGCAGGGGAAGGGGUCUUCCAGGCAAGGAAAGUAUCAUUCUCCCCACAAACUAUACACUUGGGUGACCCCAAGGAGUAGUACAAUGAUUAUAUGCGGCGGUAGCUAAAUUAAAGGGUACAGAAUGAUAACCAUGAAAGAGAAAGGAGAAAAUAAAUUCUAAGAUUCUGAUAGAGAAAUAAAAACAGGAGCAGUUGAGGUCACUGUAGAAAUAAUUUUUUUUUUGUAUUGUAGCUUUUGUAAAAAUUAAAUAUAUUGCAGAUGAUAAUAAUGGUCCCAAUUCUUCAACACUUCGUGGUUCUAUCCCCUUUGCCAUCUACUUUGUAGUGCCUUUCCUUUCUGAGUCUGAGUUCAGCCAUGUUUGCUUUGGGCCAAGUGAAUCUUAACAGGCAUCACACAAAAGGAGGGUUAGAAGGGCUCUUGGGCUUCUUCACUCUUUCCCUCUCUAUUGCCAUGUGAAGGACAUACCUGGGCUAAGCCAGUGGCCCCAGGAGGAGGAAGAGAGACACACAGAGGUGAGUCACUCCAACCAUUCUAAUCAAGGCCAUUCUAAUCAGCUGACAGCUAGCCAAACUCCAGAUAUCUGAGUACACCAAGUGAGAAACAGAGAAGCUGCCUACAGGACCAUCCCUGAUAUCUGAGCAUAACUGCUUAUUAUUCUACUGAGAUUUUGUGUUGUCUAUCACACAACUUUAUUAUUUCAGUCGAUAUUUAAUACAAAGUAAAUGAAAAUGGCCAGGCACAGUGGCUCACUCAUGUAAUCCCAGCACUUUGGGAGGCCAAGGCGGGUGCAUCUCCUGAGGUCAGGAGUUCCAGACCAGCCUGGCCAACAUGGCAAAACCCCGUCUCCACUAAAAAUACAAAAAUUAGCCUGGCAUGGUGGCACGGGCAUGUAAUCCCAGCCACCCGGGAGGCUGAGGCAGGAGAAUCGCUUGAACACAGGAGGCAGAGGUUGCCGUCAGCACUGCACUCCAGCCCGGGCUUCAGAGCAAGACUCCAUCUCAAAAACAAACACCAACAAAAGUAAAUGAUAAACAUUAACCUUUAUUAAUAACAAUUGUUAAUAUGGUAGUCGGUUUUGUUUGCUGUAUUUUUGUUUCUCUCUCUCUCUCUCUCCCCCUUGUUUGUUUCUAGGAAAUUCCAGGAUUGUGAAAGAACGCACUAUGGCAUUUGAUAUAGAGAUACCCAUAGCUCUUAUAUCGUUACUGAGAAUUUUGGCCUUCAAGUUCAGUCUGAGCCUAUCAUUGCGGACAGAGUGAUGAGAAUACCCUGCUCCAAGCUGUUCAGAAUGUGAGAAAUUCCUAGAGAUUAAAUUAAAAAGCGGCUACAUGGCCUGAUUACCAAAAGUCUAAAAUAUAUGAAGUUAAACUGAUGAAAGCUGUGAGCAGAGCCUAGCCAGGGCCUAAGAUACGGAGUGCGAAUUAUGGACAUGACGAUGAAGAAAUAUUUAAGAUUCCUUAUACAGCUAGUAAGUGUAAGAGGAAAGAUUCAGUCAUGCUAGAGUCCAGAAUUCAUGUGAAGUGUUCAGGAAAGGGACACUUAUAACAAUCAUCUGGAGAGGUGUGCAUGGCACGGACCUGAGCUUUCCUGCCAAAGCCAUCAGACUGCGCCAUCUUGGAACUUGAUUCUCUAGCCCCAGUCAAGCUUCCAGAUGAGUGCAGCCCUGGCUGAUGUCUUCAUAUCGAUCUCCUGAGACACUGUGGGCUAGAUCACUCAGAUAAGCCACUCUUGAAACACUGUACCACAGAAACUGUGAAAUAAUCAAUGUGUGCUGUUUUAUAGUUUUAGUUUUGAGGCAGUUUGCUCCCCAGUAACAGAUAAGUAAUAGAGCAAAUAUCUCAUCAAUCAUGCUUCUUAGAAUCAGAAUCCAUAGAAGAGGAAACUGACAUAAAUCACUUGUUUUUAAAUUAUCUCACAAUAUUUUUUUUAUUUGUUUGUUUUGUUUGUUUGCCUCAGCCCCAAUAUCACUAGGCCUUAAAUGAUGCUUAAUUCACUAAAUUGUAACUUUUAGAUUUAUCAGCUUUCAGGGUUCAUUAAAACUGUUCUGUUCUGGAACAUAUCAGAGUCCUUUUCCUCUUGACAGAGAUUUUAUUUUCCACAUUCUGAUUGAGAUCCCGAGAGAAUAGGAAGAAAAUGUGUAUAUUCUGAUGGAAAGUAAAAGCUGUCAUUUCAUAAAUUAUACUUCUGAUUCUGAAAGAAAGAAAUAUAUCUUCCUUUUCCUGCUCUCUUAAAGGAAAUUGUGUGUCCAUUGAUUGUCUCUGCUUCAUCACAUGCAAGUUCUAUGACCAGU